rnacentral:lncRNA from 1 species
UAGUGGGGGUUAUUAGAAUAAUGAUACUUAAAGAAGUGAUUUUUUGGAAGGAAAUUGAGGUAUGAUACUUAAACAAGUGAUUUUUAUGUCAUUAUCCUAGAUUCAGUACAAGGUCAUCACCUGACAUGACCUGGUCAUCCUAGACAACACAGAUGUUGGCCCUGAUAAUUUUAGCAACAUAAUUAGUCCCUGGAUCAUUAGUAUUCUAUAUUUAAAACUACAAUAAAAUUAAAUCACUUAGUCUAGUGAUAAAAUUUGUACUACUUAAAUAGGUGAUUAUUAAAGAGAG